UGACCCAAUCCUUAAAGUCAGAUAGAGUCGUCAAAGCAAAUAUUUUUGGACUCAGCCAACAUGUAUUGAAAAUGUAACUGCGCACUAAAGGAGUUAGAAGGGGAGAGAGAGAUUAGGGGGAGGUAGCUAGUGAGGUGAGGUGUAGGCCUAUUGUGGACAGGUCGAUGCGCUAGAGACAGUGUUACACUAGUAAUGUGACAAUAUGUGGCGGCCGUUGGCUCAAGAGUGACUGGAAGUUUGUAUAACUAAUAGAUAAGCAGCGUGUGUGUGUCAGUGAAAAUAAAACAAAAUUGAAUGAGCCAGUGAACCAAUGGUUUUAAACGGAAUUCAAACAUUAUGUGAUUUUUUUUUUAUCGGCUUUUCAAAGACACCGGCUUAUUUUCAACUUUCAUGAUUCCGGUGCAAUAAUUUAUGAACUACUUCCAUGCCCUUGAAAACGGCUUCAAGGACCAGGUAGCACUCUCAUUGUAUCAAAUCUCAGGGGGAAGAGAGAGGAGGAUACGGUGACGAACACUAAACGCUUGUGCAACUCUAUGGCUGUGCUCCGUGGCAGGCCCAUAUGCAAAUGCAUUCACACACACACAAACAAAACCUGUGCUGGCCAUAAUUAUAGUGGUACUACUAGGCUAUCAUCUAUUAUUUAAUUCGCACAAGCGAAUGAAACACUCCCGUGUCACACGUUGAUGUAAAUGAACGUAGAAACCAAGAACAACCACAAGAAGUGUAUCAGUGCCCCCUAGUGGACAACACAAGACUUUAUAACAGACUGGGUUUUCUGUUUUCUCUCUAUGAAUGAAUAGAUCAUAACAGAAUCCAUGCCACAGACGUGCAUGCAGUCUGGUACCUGACCACGCAAGCAGUACCCGGGCUGCCCAGCGUCAUCAACCAUGACCACGGCUCCACCAGUGACUCAGACUCUGACAGCGGGAUAACUCACAGCCACAUGGGCUUCCUGGUGUCCAAGAUGUACACGGUGUCGGAGGACGGCUACGGCUGUCUGUCGGGCUUCCGUGCUGCUACCUAAUGAAUAUUUUGGAAAAUAAGUCACUAAGCGUGACUUUUUAAUACAUUCUGUGUGUUUGAAAAAAAAAAAAUCAAACCCUUUCUUGUUUUUUUGCAAGAAACAAAAAUAGUGAACAGGCAGCAUUUUGUAGGAUUAUAGAAUGAUUGAAUGAUAGAAUAAACAAAGAUUAGUUGGUUAUGAGAUGGUUUAAUAGACAAAUAUACCAUUGGGAAAACCAGUUAUAUAUUUUUAAACAACAAAAGCAAUCAAAGCAGAAAGAAAAUCAAACUGUAUAAUUAAAUAAAACGAGAUGAUCCAUGAUUUGAACAUUAACUUUGCAGUUUUCAGUAAGUCGUAACUCCUCCUUCGGUAUCUCCUUAUUGUACCGACAGCGAUACAUUAUUUCACUUUCUUAUGAAAAAAUUUACUUAUUGUGAGAC